rnacentral:tRNA from 1 species
AGAGGUGUAGCUCAAUGGUAGAGUGCUUACCUAGCAUGUAAAAGGCUCUGGGUUCAAUCCUCAGUACUGCAA